AGAAUUACGCCGCUCACUCUCCCCAUGACCUCCAAACUCUCUGCUCCCCUUCCCAGACAACCACCUCCCCACGCCCCGCCCCACUUCCAUCCCCACCUUCUCCGGCUGCGCCGCCCACCACCUCCUCUGGCCGCGUCGCCCACCACCUCCUCCGGCCGCGCCCGACAACACCACCUUCUACGCCGGCUGCCACCCUCUUCUUUCUCCCGCGCCAUUGACGCGGCAACAAACCACGGAUCCGGCCGCCACCGACCCCUCGGCGUGGAAGCCGUCCGCUCGCGCAGCCUGGCGCCUGAUCCGGCGAGGUCCACACCGGUGCCUCUAUACCGCGCCGCCGAGGCCCGGGUUGUCCUCUCCCUCUCCGGCAGGGAGGCCCCGUCGAGCAACUCCCACGCUUGCCACCGAGAGGAGGCCGGCCAGGAGGCAGGCGCUAGCGCCCCCCUAUUGCCCGCGGCAGAUCCGACGAGCCAACCCACAUCCUCAUCUCCCUCGCGGCGGAUCCGACGAGCUCUAUCACCACGCGCCGGCGGGCGGACCCCCUCCCUCCUCCACUCACGGCGUCGUGCGCAGGCGGCGGCGCCACCGUUUCUCCCAGCCAUCCUCCCCCCAAGCCACGUCUGGAUGGAUAUGGUCUGCCCACCGCCUGAUUUGGCCACGCCUUCAACCACCGCGACGUGAUGGGGUGUAGGAUCCAGGGAGGUUUCAGGGGUCAAGAAGCCACCGACCUCGCCGAAAAUCGCCCUUCCCUCCUCCCGGCCAAUCUCCUCCACCGGAUGCCUCGCGUGCUGCCACGCCAGGCGCCGGAUCCAUCGGCCAUUCAUGCACCAGGGAUGAGCUCGGCACGCGACUACUGGGAGAAACUGCAUGGAGGAAGGCUCGCUCCUGGGAGAAACUGGGUGCACUAUGGUCCUGGAGCAGAUCGUUGUUUUGGUGUUUUUCUUAUCAAGUGUAAAUGUAGCCCACUAUUGUUUGCUCAUGAGGUUCAAUUUACUUGUUCUUGCAGGAAGAAAGUGGUAGAGUGCGGUUUGAUGCAGCAUUGCAUUUUUUAUGUUUCCCUGAUCAUACAGUUUGGACAGCGAGCCUCCCUCCAUGAAGUCCGCUGGCACAUCCAUGCAGUACAACGCGUGUGUGUAUACGGUUCGCGACGCGUGUGUUGCCGGUGGCUGUUGUGAAGUUGAUUGUUUUUUCAUUUUCAGAAAAAUUGCGUGAGGCUGUCUGGUCGUUAGUUUUAUACUUAGUCAUGCGGUGCACUCGUAAAAGUGGUGCAGUACUCGCAAAAUCGUCGUUAGUUUUCUACUUAGUCAUGCAGUGCACUAGCAAAAAGUGGUGUAGUACUAGCAAAAUUAUUUUGUUUCUUCUCAACAACGACAAAUGGUGCAGCACUUUAGUCCAAAACAGUGGUAGCACACGACCAUCGUUUACUCCAGAAAGCAGUACACUUACUGUGAGCAGUUGUGCAAAAGAAAAAGGAACCGAUUGUAUUUGUAUUUUAGUUUUGAGACCUGUUGACUAAAAUCCAGCGACCUAUUUGUCAAUAAU